GAGAGUUUGAUCCUGGCUCAGGACGAACGCUGGCGGCGUGCCUAAUACAUGCAAGUCGAGCGAACAGAGAAGGAGCUUGCUCCUUUGACGUUAGCGGCGGACGGGUGAGUAACACGUGGGCAACCUACCUUAUAGUUUGGGAUAACUCCGGGAAACCGGGGCUAAUACCGAAUAAUCUGUUUCACCUCAUGGUGAAAUACUGAAAGACGGUUUCGGCUGUCGCUAUAGGAUGGGCCCGCGGCGCAUUAGCUAGUUGGUGAGGUAACGGCUCACCAAGGCGACGAUGCGUAGCCGACCUGAGAGGGUGAUCGGCCACACUGGGAGUGAGACACGGCCCAGACUCCUACGGGAGGCAGCAGUAGGGAAUCUUCCACAAUGGGCGAAAGCCUGAUGUGCAACGCCGCGUGAGUGAAGAAGGAUUCGGCGCCCUCUCUGUGUAAGGGAAGAACAAGUACAGUAGUAACUGGCUGUAC
rnacentral:rRNA from 1 species